UACGGGGGGGGCAAGCGUUGUUCGGAAUUACUGGGCGUAAAGGGCGCGUAGGCGGCUCGCUAAGUUGGAUGUGAAAACUCUGGGCUUAACCCAGAGCCUGCAUUCAAAACUGACGGGCUAGAGUUCUGGAGGGGAUAGCGGAAUUCCUGGUGUAGCAGUGAAAUGCGUAGAUAUCAGGAGGAACACCGGUGGCGAAGGCGGCUAUCUGGACAGAAACUGACGCUGAUGCGCGAAAGCCAGGGGAGCAAACGGG
rnacentral:rRNA from 1 species